ensembl:rRNA 5S_rRNA 5S ribosomal RNA
AUCUAUAGCCAUACCACUCUAAAUGUACCUGAUCUCAGAAGCUAAGCAUGGUCGGGCCUGGUUAGUACUUGGAUGGGAGACCACCUGGGAAUACUGGGUGCUGCAGGCU